AGUGAACGCUGGCGGUAGGCCUAACACAUGCAAGUCGAACGGCAGCACAGUAAGAUCUUGCUCUUACGGGUGGCGAGUGGCGGACGGGUGAGGAAUACAUCGGAAUCUACUUUUUCGUGGGGGAUAACGUAGGGAAACUUACGCUAAUACCGCAUACGACCUACGGGUGAAAGCAGGGGAUCUUCGGACCUUGCGCGAUUGAAUGAGCCGAUGUCGGAUUAGCUAGUUGGCGGGGUAAAGGCCCACCAAGGCGACGAUCCGUAGCUGGUCUGAGAGGAUGAUCAGCCACACUGGAACUGAGACACGGUCCAGACUCCUACGGGAGGCAGCAGUGGGGGAUAUUGGGCAAUGGGCGAAAGCCUGAUCCAGCCAUACCGCGUGGGUGAAGAAGGCCUUCGGGUUGUAAAGCCCUUUUGUUGGGAAAGAAAAGCAGCGGAUUAAUCCCCCGCUGUUCUGACGGUACCCAAAGAAUAAGCACCGGCUAACUUCGUG
rnacentral:rRNA from 1 species